UGCUCUUUUACAAGACAAAUCUUUACAGAGAUGAUAUCAGGAGGAGAAAUACUUUGACCUAACUCAUGCAUCUACACUGAUCACCAGUUAGAGUUGGUGAGAACUGCUGACCAAAUCCAACAAGAGGAAAGAAGUCCUGGGAACAGACUGACAUGAUACGGACAGAAGCAUGGUAGAAAAUCAUGCAGAGUAAAUCUAGAGGGCAAACAAUAUACGUCCAGCAGAGAAGAUCAAAUUGGGCCCUGAAAGUGACCAGAAGUUGACUUAAAACAAGCAAGAAAGAGGCCGGGAAAAUGUAUAUCAGGUGACCAAGAAAUAAAUCCAGCUGGCCCUUCCUACUCAUGGCUUCAACAUCUGGGAAUUAAACCAAACAUGCCUGGAGAAUAUCAGGAGGAAAAAUGGGUAGUCGAAGAGUAAAUUUGACCAAAAGGAACUUGCCAGAAGAAGGAGCAAUUGUUAAUGGAAAGAUAAUUCAGCUUUGAAGUCUGUUCAGACUGAAGUGACUGUGUAGAUUUUUAGCUGAAAUUAAACAUCUGAGCAUAGAAAUUAAUAACUUUUGCUUCU
ensembl:lncRNA